GACGAACGCUGGCGGCGUGCUUAACACAUGCAAGUCGAACGGUAAGGCCCUUCGGGGUACACGAGUGGCGAACGGGUGAGUAACACGUGGGUGAUCGCCCCUGCACUGCGGGAGAAGCCUGUGAAACUGGGUCUAAUACCGGCUAGGACGACUUCCUGCAUGGGCGGGGGUGGGAAGCUUUUGCGGUGUGGGAUGGGCCCGCGGCCUUUCAGCUUGUUGGUGGGGUGAUGGCCUACCAAGGCGACGACGGGUAGCCGGCCGGAGCGGGUGCCCGGCCACACUGGGACUGAGAUACGGCCCAGACUCCUACGGGAGGCAGCAGUGGGGAAUAUUGCACAAUGGGCGCAAGCCUGAUGCAGCGACGCCGCGUGAGGGAUGACGGCCUUCGGGCUGUAAACCUCUUUCAGCACCGACGAAGCGCAAGUGACGGUAGGUGCAGAAGAAGGACCGGCCAACUACGUGCCAGCAGCCGCCGUAA
rnacentral:rRNA from 1 species